GGGAGUAUAGUUUAAUAUCUGGUAAAACAUAUAAUUUGCAAUUAUAAAUUAUUGGUUCAAGUCCAAUUAGUUCCA
rnacentral:tRNA from 1 species